rnacentral:rRNA from 1 species
UACGAAGGGGGCUAGCGUUGUUCGGAAUUACUGGGCGUAAAGCGCGCGUAGGCGGCGCAUCAAGUUGGGAGUGAAAUCCCGGGGCUUAACCUCGGAAUUGCUCUCAAAACUAGUGUGCUAGAGAGUGGUAGAGGAUGAUGGAAUUUCCGGUGUAGAGGUGAAAUUCGUAGAUAUCGGAAGGAACACCAGUGGCGAAGGCGGUCAUCUGGGCCAUUUCUGACGCUCAUGUGCGAAAGCGUGGGGAGCAAACAGG